rnacentral:rRNA from 1 species
AGGAUGAACGCUGGCGGCGUGCCUAACACAUGCAAGUCGAACGAAGCGCUGGGAGCGGAACAUUUCGGUGGGAAGCAUCCAAUGACUGAGUGGCGGACGGGUGAGUAACGCGUGGGUAACCUGCCUCAUACAGGGGGAUAACAGCCAGAAAUGACUGCUAAUACCGCAUAAGCGCACGGAACCGCAUGGUUCUGUGUGAAAAACUCCGGUGGUAUGAGAUGGACCCGCGUCUGAUUAGCUAGUUGGCGGGGUAACGGCCCACCAAGGCAGCGAUCAGUAGCCGGCCUGAGAGGGUGGACGGCCACAUUGGGACUGAGACACGGCCCAAACUCCUACGGGAGGCAGCAGUGGGGGAUAUUGCACAAUGGGGGGAACCCUGAUGCAGCGACGCCGCGUGAAGGAAGAAGUAUCUCGGUAUGUAAACUUCUAUCAGCAGGGAAGAAAAUGACGGUACCUGACUAAGAAGCCCCGGCUAACUACGUGCCAGCAGCCGCGGUAAUACGUAGGGGGCAAGCGUUAUCCGGAUUUACUGGGUGUAAAGGGAGCGUAGGCGGCAGUGCAAGUCAGAAGUGAAAGCCCGGGGCUCAACUCCGGGACUGCUUUUGAAACUGUACAGCUUGAUUGCAGGAGAGGCAAGUGGAAUUCCUAGUGUAGCGGUGAAAUGCGUAGAUAUUAGGAGGAACACCAGUGGCGAAGGCGGCUUGCUGGACUGUAAAUGACGCUGAGGCUCGAAAGCGUGGGGAGCAAACAGGAUUAGAUACCCUGGUAGUCCACGCCGUAAACGA